rnacentral:rRNA from 1 species
UACGGAAGGUCCGAGCGUUAUCCGGAUUUAUUGGGUUUAAAGGGAGCGUAGGUGGAUUGUUAAGUCAGUUGUGAAAGUUUGCGGCUCAACCGUAAAAUUGCAGUUGAAACUGGCAGUCUUGAGUACAGUAGAGGUGGGCGGAAUUCGUGGUGUAGCGGUGAAAUGCUUAGAUAUCACGCAGAACCCCGAUUGCGAAGGCAGCAUGCCGGCUUCCGACUGACGCUGAAGCACGAAAGCGUGGGGAUCGAACAGG